rnacentral:misc_RNA from 1 species
AAAAAAAAAAAAAAAGAGAAGAAAUUAUCGUCAAAAUUCCUCUGCCACAAUUUCUUCUCACAGGCUAGACUUGCUUCCUUUCAUUUCCAUCCAGCUACAACCCCUCACACUGGCUCUUUACCACGUGGGAUUUCUUUUUUAUUUUAUUUUUUGACACAUAAUAUUGCUAUCUAAUAAUCUUACUUUAAAUCUAAUCAAAUUAUGAUAAGGGUGGCUUUAGUGUAAUGUUUGUAAAGUUUAGAAAUUUUAUAAUAACAAAAUGGAGAUGAAGAAUUUUUACCCGCACCUUCAUGAAUUCCACACUCUAUUCUCUAGCUGUAUAUAUAUAUUUCUCCGUCACACGUAGCUUCAGAGAAUUCGUUAUUAACCCCAGCCGUGACGCUUCCCUCAUUCCUUCUAGAACCUUCUCUUACCCUUUCCCAGAAACUUCUGCAGCAAAAUGUGACUUGGGCCUUUUGAAUCCCUUUCUGGUAUAUAACCGUGGCUUACGAGGCCCUCCUUUUCUGAGGCCCAUCUGAUCCCAAUCAGAUUCCUGCGUGGUUGAGGAGUUGAUAAAAGCCACUGAUCCCUCCUCAUAAUGAUCAUCAGUAUCGAAUGGCAUUGGAGGCUCAGGUAACCACUCAGUGAAGUUGUCUGCCAUUGGAGACUCUUCAGUUGUCCUCUUAUUCAACUUCAAAUCAUAAUCGAGUUCCAAGAAAUCAGCACAACCUUCCUUCAGAUCAAAUGAUAUCGAAUCCGUUUCCCAACUUGAAUAUCCGCUAAAAUAACUUGCAGAUGAGCUAGAACUCGGAUCAUGCACUACCUCAUCUUGCCUGUAAGUGUAAACCAGAUAGACCCCGCAUCUUGUCAGGGUUGAACCAAUUGAUGCUCAAACGACUUUAAAUGAAACCUUAAAGUGAGACAAACCAUUAUGCUUCAAAUGCAAGCCCUUGAUAAAACGAGACAGUUCAACCACAUAUGAUCCGACUCCAAUGAAAAGAACUGUCUUGAAAGCAUUAUCACAUUUUGACCAUUGUUGAAAACUUCACAUGAUAUGUUUGCUGUCUCUCCAUCUUUUGAACUUAAAAUGGCACAAAGAACCA